AAAAACAUGUAAUGUCUCAUGAGGCAAACCUUACAUUAAAGAUGGAUCAAUUUAUAAUUGCACUGAAUGUGGUUAUACUUCAAAGAGAUUAAACGAUCUCCACAAACACGUUGUUCUACAUCGCGAUAAAUUUGAAACUGACUUUUUUAAAUGCACUAAAUGCGAUUACUCCACUUCUGUUAGUAACCAUUUUGCCAAGCACGUGUUGACCAGCUGUCAGUCUCAGGAAAGAAGUAAUACAGUCUCGAACAGGAGUCAGAGUUAUAUUGUAUUAGAGGGGGCAGACAUGGGUAUCUAUAAGCUCGAUAAGAAAGGAGUGGUUAAGAGGAAAAGAGAAAAGGCAGCAGCUGUCGCAGAUUCAGACGAAGAGGAGCAGGAGGAUUUUUUGGUUGAUAGAAACUAUAAGAAACGUAGUAAGGUGGUUGUUUUGGGCGGAUAUGAAGAACCUGAACAAUCGUCUUAGUUAAAUGUCACUUUAAAAAAAUUGCACUUUCUUUAGUUACCAUGGAUGUAAAAUGUAGUGUAUUAAAAUUAAAUAUUAUCGAGUAUCAUUAUUAUGGUGUAUAUAUUAUAGCAUACAAAAGUAAAGCUUAAAAAUUAAAUAUUUCUCAAAGAGAAACAGA